UACGUAGGGGGCAAGCGUUGUCCGGAAUUAUUGGGCGUAAAGAGCGCGUAGGCGGUCCGGUAAGUCGGCUGUGAAAGUCAAGGGCUCAACCCUUGAAAGCCGGCCGAUACUGUCGGACUAGAGUCCGGAAGAGGGUUGUGGAAUUCCCAGUGUAGAGGUGAAAUUCGUAGAUAUUGGGAAGAACACCGGUGGCGAAGGCGGCAACCUGGUCCUUUACUGACGCUGAGGCGCGAAAGCGUGGGGAGCAAACAGG
rnacentral:rRNA from 1 species